AUGGUUAUAAACAAAAUGGAAAAGGUUAAAAAUGUUAAAAAUGUUAAAAAGGAUGAUAAGAUAGAAUAUUUAAUUUUUGAUAAUAAAUAUAAUAAAAGGAUUUUUAAAAUAUUAUUACGUAUAAUAGAUAAUAUAAAAAUAUAUUUGUUUAGUCAUAGUUAUGAUUAUAUUUAUAAAGAUAGAAUAAAAUAUAAUAAAUAUGUAAGUAUACUUUCGUUGUAUUUUUACAAAUUUUAUUUUACUCUUUUUUAUUUUGAUACGUUUAAAAAAGGACAAUUGGAUGAACACAUACAAAGAAGUGAACACAUACAAAUAAACGAAGUUGAAAUUAUUAAAGAUAAAAUAAUAUCAAUAACACCAAUUUUAAGUAUAAGAUAUAUGAACCCGUGUAAUAUUCAGAAUAUUUGUGGAAUGAAAAUAUUAAAUAGUAUUAAAGAAACAAAAACAACACCAUUUGAUAAAAUAAAUAGUGAAUACAUUAUGAUACAAUUAAGUGAUUACGAAAUGAAUAAAUUAUACAUUUUAAUUACAUAUUAUAUAGAAAGUUUAAGAAAGAAAGAUGAUAUUUUAUAUAGUGUAUAUUUAUUAAUGGAUCAGUAUAUAUUUGGGAAUGAUUAUUUAUAUAAAUUGAUUAAAAAGUUAGUUAAUUAUAGAAUAUAUAUUUAUUUAUAUAGUUUAAAUAAUUUUAAUAGUUAUAAUUUUAUUUUUAGUUUUUUUUUUCUACUAUCAAAUAUGAUGAAUUAUAACAAAAUUAUACGAAAUUAUAUUUAUUAUAUUUUUGAUCAUAUAUUUAAAUUAAAUAUUAAUUUAAUAUAUGAUAAUUUAUUUUUUGUAUAUUUUUUAAAAAAUAUGGAAAAAAGUAGUAUUGAUUUUGCCUUUUCGAAAAUGUUAUAUGAAGAAACAGAUUUUUUUACCAAUGUAUAUAUUGAAAGAAAAAAAAAUAACAUAAUUAAAACUUUAUACAAAAUUAAUAUAUUUAUUAUAAUAAAUUAUUUGUUAUAUUUUAAAACCUUUAAUAGUUGUAAACUCUAUUUAAAUUUAUAUUCUUACUUUUUUUAUGAAUUUUAUAUGUUUUGCAUUAAAAAAUAUUUAAAAAAAUACAAAAAUGUUAGGAAUGGGAAUAGUGGUUUAUUUUUGAAGAAAUCGGAUAAAGUGAGUGAUUAUUUGGAUUUGGAAAGGAAAAUGCAUAGUGAGUUAGUUUAUGAAUGUGGAGAGGGUAAGGACAAAGAACAAGGUCAGGAUCAGGACCGAAAGAAGGAUGAAGAACAAGAACAGGAGCAGGACCGAGAGAACGAUGAAGAAAAAGAACAGGGACAAGGCAAGAGGCAAGACCAGGGACAAGGAAAAAGACAAGAGCAACCCUUAAGAUCCACAGUUAACACAUUUAAUCAAAACUAUAUCAACACAUUCGAUACAACAAAAAGAGCAAUGUUAAAUAAAAAAGAUAAUAUUUCCAGGUUGAAUAACAUAUAUAAUGUUAAAAGUAGUGAAAAGAUGAGCAGUAAAAGUAAGUCCAUGAUAAGUGACUCAAAAAGGACAAAUUCUCCAGUAUAUAUGUACUCAAAUAAUUAUUAUAAAAAAGCAAACAUAAUAUUUAAACAAAACCCAAGAUUUAACACACUUUUCUUAAGAGAAAAAAACAUCAGCUUGCAUCGUAUUGGUACUAUACGUAGGAAACGGUAUGGUAAUAUAGCUAAAAUAAUAGAAGCAAGAAAAAGGAACAAAGGACGAUUGGAGAAUGUAAAAAAGAGUGACAGUACCAUUUCGUUUAGUAGUGGAGAUAGUAACGGUAUUAUUCGUAACAGACGAAAUGGUGGAAAAAAUAGAAGAGAGAGCAAAAAGCGAGGCAGAAAAAUAGACAGAAAAAUGGACACAAAAAUAGACAGAAAAAUAGACAGAAAAAGAGACAGAAAAAGAGACAGAAAAAGAGACAGAAAAAGAGUUACAGAUAAUGUGCAAAGAUCCAAAAGAAAUAAAUACUUAUCUGAAUAUUUAGAAACAUACAAAGGUUUUAACGUGAAAGAUAUUUUCAAAAGUUAUGAAAAUGAAAGCAGUAUAGAUAAUCAUGUAAGUUAUAGGAAAAUAAUAAAAAAGGUGAAAGGAUAUAAUACUUAUAUAUAUAAGGUUUAUAAUAUAAAAAAGAGUAAAAAAAUCUUAUUUAAUAAAAAAUUUUUUAAAGAAUAUAUAAAUAUUAUAAAUUUUUUGAUUUGUUUAUUUUUAAGUACUCAUCAUAAUAAUAUAAACAUGGAUAUGUUAACAAAUGAGUCUAUUAUUUUUAUAUCUACAAUUAUUCAAAAAAAUUUCAAAUUCAAUUUUCUUUAUUUUUAUUAUAAUAUUUUAAAAGAAAAUAAUAAAAAACAUAAACAUUUUUAUAAGUUAAGUUUUAACAACAUUUUAAAUAAUUCAUGUAAAAAUAAUUUAGACAUAUGUAUAAUAAGUAUAAAAAAUAAAUUUAUUUAUGUAUUAUAUACAUUGUCUACUAUAUUAUGUGUCUAUAACAGAUUUGCUUUUCUUAGUUAUUACUUUUUAGUUUUUUAUAAAUGUAUUAAAAUGUUAGCUGUUUUUACGGUCAGAAGUAUAACAAUGGCCAACUCUAUGAUAAGUUUAUAUGAUGAUUUUAGUAAUGUGGGUUCUGUAAAUGAGAGCGAUGCAAGUAAUACAGGGGUUAUCGAACGAGAUAGAUACAGAACAUUACCUUUUGAAAGGGAAUAUAUAUCUGACUUUGAUAAUAAUGAGUGUUAUUUUGGUGAUAGUACUAGACUAAGUAAUAGUAAUUACAAAAAGUGUAGCAAAAAAAGUAGUAGUAAAGAAAGUUACAGUAGCAAAACGAAUGUUACAAAUAAAAACAGUAAAGUAAUAAAUCGACUCGAGGAAUGGUUUUUCGAAAGUGAUAUUAUUAUGAUAAAACAGUAUAUAAAUAAUUAUAUUAUUAAACAACAUAUAUCUAUAAAAAGAGAAUUAGAAAAUAAGAAUAUAUCUAACUAUGGUUUUUUAGAACAGUAUAAAACAUAUAUUAAUAAUGUUGUAAUGUUAUAUACAAUUAUUAAUAUAAUGAUAUUAAUUUAUAAUAAUAUAAAUUCGAACAAGCAACAAUUUUUAAAAAAAAAAAUAGAUAAAUUUAAUAAAUAUAAUGAAUAUUUAAUAAAAAAGAUGGUCAGUAUUUAUUUUUUUAAUAUUCCUUAUGUAUGUGAUUAUUUACUUGUAAUGUUAAAUUUUUUUGACAUCUUUAGUAGUACAUGUAUGAGUUUAAAUUAUAGUAAUUACCAUUUUUUAAAAGAUAUCAAACAUGUUUUUAAAAAUACAUACAUGUAUUUUUUUUCUAAUAUUAUGAAUAAAAUACAACACAUAAAAACAUUUUAUCAUUUAAAUUUUGAUAAAAAUGAUAAUGUACAUUUUCAUAAUUACAAAAAAAAGACAGAUUCUUUGUUUGAUCAAGUAAAAGAAAAACAAUAUAAUGAAAAAAAAAAAAAAAAAAUCAAAAAUAUAAUAAUGAAGUUGUAA
rnacentral:lncRNA from 1 species